rnacentral:tRNA from 1 species
GGCUGCGUAGCAUAAUGGAUGUGCGGCGGGUUUGUAACCCGAUGGGUGGGGCUUCGAUUGCCCUCGCAGCCU